rnacentral:tRNA from 1 species
GGGGAUUUAGCUCAGUGGCAUAAGCAUCUGCUUGGCAAGCAGCAUGAGGUCAUGAGUUCAAUCUCCG